rnacentral:rRNA from 1 species
UGGGGAAUUUUGGACAAUGGGCGAAAGCCUGAUCCAGCAAUGCCGCGUGUGUGAAGAAGGCCUUCGGGUUGUAAGCACUUUUGUCCGGAAAGAAAUCCUUGGCUCUAAUACAGUCGGGGGAUGACGGUACCGGAAGAAUAAGCACCGGCUAACUACGUGCCAGCAGCCGCGGUAAUACGUAGGGUGCAAGCGUUAAUCGGAAUUACUGGGCGUAAAGCGUGCGCAGGCGGUUUGCUAAGACCGAUGUGAAAUCCCCGGGCUCAACCUGGGAACUGCAUUGGUGACUGGCAGGCUAGAGUAUGGCAGAGGGGGGUAGAAUUCCACGUGUAGCAGUGAAAUGCGUAGAGAUGUGGAGGAAUACCGAUGGCGAAGGCAGCCCCCUGGGCCAAUACUGACGCUCAUGCACGAAAGCGUGGGGAGCAAACAGGAUUAGAUACCCUGGUAGUCCACGCCCUAAACGAUGUCAACUAGUUGUUGGGGAUUCAUUUCCUUAGUAACGUAGCUAACGCGUGAAGUUGACCGCCUGGGGAGUACGGUCGCAAGAUUAAAACUCAAAGGAAUUGACGGGG